rnacentral:rRNA from 1 species
GACUUCUGGUUUAAUGCACCCCCAACUAUCAAUCCUUCCUUCAGCCUUGAUUAUUAUUCCAUGCUAAUGUAUUCAGAGCAAACUCCUGCUUUAAACACUCUAAAAGAUCCAGUUCCAGCCGCCCAGUUAAGGGUAGCCGUUGCUGGAAGGAUGGUAAACGCGCCGGCACUCACAGGCCUUGUGGGCCGCGCUAGUAUUGGCCUGUCAGAGGUGAAAUUAUUGGAUUCGGUCAAGACUCACUUAUGAAAGCAUU